UAGACUCCCGGUCGUCGAGGUCCACCCCCCGGGGUGGCGAAGAGGGAAGUCGGACGGUGCCGCCGGUGGCGACCACCCAGCCGACGCUGUCCCCGCAACUGUGUGCGGCGAGGCACCUCCCGUGGGACGACCACUGGCCCAGCUGGGCCGGGAAGGUCAGGGAGGAGCCAGUGACCCGCGAGCCAGGAGACCUGCCUCGGCCACAGCCGAUUC
rnacentral:ncRNA from 2 species